rnacentral:rRNA from 1 species
AGUCGGGGAUAUUGCACAAUGGAGGAAACUCUGAUGCAGCGACGCCGCGUGAGCGAAGAAGGUCUUCGGAUUGUAAAGCUCUGAUGCGAGAGAUGAAGGAAGUGACAGUAUCUCGCCAGCAAGCACCGGCUAACUACGUGCCAGCAGCCGCGGUAAUACGUAGAGUGCUAGCGUUGUCCGGAAUUACUGGGCGUAAAGGGAGCGCAGGUGGUUAUUUAAGUCAAUAGUAAAAGGCAUGGGCUUAACCCAUGCAAGCUAGUGAAACUAAAUAACUUGAGUAUGGUAGAGGUAAGCGGAAUUCCUAGUGUAGCGGUGAAAGGCGUAGAUAUUAGGAGGAACACCAGUGGCGAAGGCGGCUUACUGGGCCAUAACUGACACUGAGGCUCGAAAGCGUGGGGAGCAAACAGGAUUAGAUACCCUGGUAGUCCACGCCGUAAACGAUGAGUGCUAGGUAUUGGGGGUUUAGAUACCCUCGGUGCUGUAGUUAACGCAAUAAGCACUCCGCCUGGGGAGUACGAUCGCAAGAUUG